rnacentral:rRNA from 1 species
GACGAACGCUGGCGGCGUGCUUAACACAUGCAAGUCGAGCGGUAAGGCCCUUUCGGGGGUACACGAGCGGCGAACGGGUGAGUAACACGUGGGUGACCUGCCCUCAGCUCUGGGAUAAGCCUGGGAAACCGGGUCUAAUACCGGAUAUGACUCCAUGACGCAUGUUGUGGGGUGGAAAGCCUUGUGCGGCUGAGGAUGGGCCCGCGGCCUAUCAGCUUGUUGGUGGGGGAUGGCCUACCAAGGCGACGACGGGUAGCCGGCCUGAGAGGGCGACCGGCCACACUGGGACUGAGACACGGCCCAGACUCCUACGGGAGGCAGCAGUGGGGAAUCUUGCGCAAUGGGCGAAAGCCUGACGCAGCGACGCCGCGUGAGGGAUGACGGCCU